rnacentral:SRP_RNA from 1 species
GCCGGGUGCGGUGGCAUGUGCCUGUAAUCCAAGUCACUGGGAGGCUGAGGUUGGUGGAUCAAGUGAGCUGAGGAGCUCUGGGCUGCAGCACACUAUGUGGAACGGUUGUCCACGCUAAGUUCGGUAUCGAUAUGGUGUUCCUGGGGGAGCCCGGGACCACCAGGUUGUCUAAGGAGGGGUGAACCGGCCCAGGUCGGAAACGAAGCAGGUCAAAUCCCCCGUGCUGUCCAGUAGUGGGAUAAUACCUGUGAGUAGAUGCUGCAGUGCAGCCUUGGCGAAACAUCGAGACCUAAUCUUUC